GCGAUGAGCAGAUUAUGGCGCUAAGAAGAUACCAGCCCACUUUAAAGGAUAUGGAAAUGUACCAGUCUUUCAAAGGUUCUCCUUCAGAACUACAUCAGGUGGAUCAGUUUAUGCUAGAAAUGUGUAAAAUACCUAACUUGGGCCAAAGGCUGGACCUCCUGCUUGCUGUACGUGAACUUCCAGCCUCCAUGGCAGAGCUGGAGCCAGUA